UACGAAGGGAGCUAGCGUUGUUCGGAAUUACUGGGCGUAAAGGGCGCGUAGGCGGUACUAUAAGUUAGAUGUGAAAGCCCCGGGCUUAACCUGGGAACUGCAUUUAAUACUGUAGAACUAGAGGACGAGAGAGGAAAGUGGAAUUAUGAGUGUAGAGGUGAAAUUCGUAGAUAUUCAUAAGAACACCAGUGGCGAAGGCGACUUUCUGGCUCGUAUCUGACGCUAAGGCGCGAAAGCGUGGGGAGCAAACAGG
rnacentral:rRNA from 1 species